GAGUCGAUGAUGAUCAGCUAGUCAUCUGGGAACUGCCUGAUGGAGGGGGAUACUACUGGAAACGGUAGCUAAUACCGCAUAACGUCGCAAGACCAAAGAGGGGGACCUUCGGGCCUCUUGCCAUCGGAUGUGCCCAGAUGGGAUUAGCUUGUUGGUGGGGUAACGGCUCACCAAGGCGACGAUCCCUAGCUGGUCUGAGAGGAUGACCAGCCACACUGGAACUGAGACACGGUCCAGACUCCUACGGGAGGCAGCAGUGGGGAAUAUUGCACAAUGGGCGCAAGCCUGAUGCAGCCAUGCCGCGUGUAUGAAGGAGGCCUACGGGUUGUAAAGUACUUUCAGCGGGGAGGAAGGGAGUAAAGUUAAUACCUUUGGUCAUUGACGUUACCCGCAGAAGAAGCACCGGCUAACUCCGUGCCAGCAGCGCG
rnacentral:rRNA from 1 species